ACGGAAGGCAGCAGUGGGGAAUAUUGCACAAUGGGGGAAACCCUGAUGCAGCGACGCCGCGUGAGUGAUGAAGUAUUUCGGUAUGUAAAGCUCUUUAAGCAGGGAAGACAGUGACGGUACCUGCAGAAUAAGCACCGGCUAAAUACGUGCCAGCAGCCGCGGUAAUACGUAUGGUGCAAGCGUUAUCCGGAUUUACUGGGUGUAAAGGGAGCGUAGGUGGCCUGGCAAGCCAGAGGUGAAAACCCGGGGCUCAACCCCGCGGAUUGCCUUUGGAACUGUUGGGCUGGAGUGCAGGAGGGGUAAGCGGAAUUCCCAGUGUAGCGGUGAAAUGCGUAGAUAUUGGGAAGAACACCGGCGGCGAAGGCGGCUUACUGGACUGCUACUGACACUGAGGCUCGAAAGCGUGGGGAGCAAACAGGAUUAGAUACCCUGGUA
rnacentral:rRNA from 1 species